UCAAUUGUCACAGUAGCAGACAGCGUCUGCAUUCUGCUUGUUUUCCAGCAGACAAAACAAGAAAAUGUGUAAAUGAUUUAAAAAAACAAAUUGUGUAUAAGUGCCUCUCAUCAUUCCAUGAGAAAAUUGAAAAGAAUAUUAUUACUCUAAAAUAUUAUGGAAAGUGAGCGCCAAAACAGUAGCAGUAGUCGGAGUCGCCGGCAAUGGCGCAAGGGGGGGCAAUGGAACACAACAAAGCUCCUGCUCAGGAUAGUUUUCCUUCUUGUGAUAAUCUACGUGUGGAAACUUUAUCAAGCCUCGUGAGUUUGAGACGAGCUUGUUUUUCUAUAAUUUUAUCUGAAACCAAACUGUGAUCUCUACACACAGAAGAUGAUCAAUGUGUGAUGUACACUCUCAGUGCACACCUAUUGUAAACAAUCAAUGCAUCGAUAACAAGUACAUACUCCUUCGUCAUCAGUCCAACAUCUCUGACUUUGACCGUCAUAUGGCAAAAAAUCGAGCAAAAAAUAGUCUCUAGCUUAGCAUAAGAAGUGCAAUUUUAUAUCUCACGAAAUUUUUGAAGUACCAUGACACAUGGUUUAUGUAUAUUUGGUAGGUUUUUGAAAGGCUACUUUGACAGUAGUAAACAUGAAUGGUAAUAUCUGCUCAAUAAUGUACUACUCAUAAGAAGCCCUUUACGCAAUGGACUUGUUUUUCACACUCAUAUAACAAUUAGACUGAGUCAGCAAUAACGGUACCAAGACAAAAGUACCUAGAAUACAGACUUUGCAGGCAACAAAAGCUCAAAGCAAUACACUGCUACUAUGUAAGUAAUGCACACUGUUCUUCAAUUCUUGUAAUUUUUACUUUCAACAAUAAAUGACAGCAACCCUA